GUAGGGAAUAUUGCGCAAUGGACGAAAGUCUGACGCCGCGACGCCGCGUGAGUGAUGAAGGCCUUAGGGUCGUAAAGCUCUGUUGAAUGGGAAGAAAAAAAUGACGGUACCAUUCGAGGAAGGACCGGCUAACUUCGUGCCAGCAGCCGCGGUAAUACGAGGGGUCCUAGCGUUGUUCGGAAUCAUUGGGCGUAAAGGGUGUGUAGGUGGCCAUGUAAGUCAGGUGUGAAAGCCCGGGGCUCAACCCGGGAAGUGCACUUGAUACUGCGUGGCUUGAGUACCGAAGAGGGUAGUGGAAUUCCAGGUGUAGUGGUGAAAUACGUAGAUAUCUGGAGGAACACCGGUGGCGAAGGCGGCUACCUGGUCGAGUACUGACACUGAGACACGAAAGCAUGGGGAUCAAACAGGAUUAGAAACCCCGGUAGUCC
rnacentral:rRNA from 1 species